rnacentral:misc_RNA from 1 species
AGUCAUUCUGAAUUCUGAUAAUCUGAUUCAGUGUCGGUCGUACGACUUGGCAAACGGUCGUUCGUCGUCUCUGUGAGGUUUGUCCCGGGCAAUGCGCGCUCGAACACGGUUGUAACAAUAAUAUUGUCCCAUUCUCCUGUGUUUUUGUUUAAUCGAACGUCUUUCAUUAUCAACGUCUACGUUGUUGUUGAAAUUAUUAUUACCCAUUGUUUUACUGCCCGUCGACUCUUAUCACACGCAUAAGUGUCCCAAUACCGAGACAAAAACAAUAAUUUUUGUUCGAUUAUAAAAUAUUUAUUAUUCCGUUCACAUUUAUCUUUUAUAAUAUUAUAAUAUAAUAUAAUAAAUAAUUUAAAACGUGUACCAUACGUCAAUACAUAACAUUUAACGAGGUCUACGUAGUCAACCGUGUCUGUGAAUCCGCGGGUUCUCUGGUCGUCCUCGUCUUCGUCGAUAAUCCCUCACCGUAAAUGAGAACGAAACCAGCCGUGCGCCGGAAUUCGUGGACUAACCGUCACUGACGUACUGUUAUGGCUGUGGUCGGCCCGAGCCGACACUCCAGGGUGUCAAUGUCGCUGAUGCAGGGCUCGACGAACGGUCCAGUGGGCAACCACCAGCAGGCCAGCGCCUCGCAACAGUUUUUCCACGCUCAGCAGCAAUCUCACCAUGCCGCACAAUCGGCCUCUGCACAUCCGGUGGACUACAAACCUGACAGACCAAUUGGAUAUGGCGCAUUCGGAGUCGUCUGGGCUGUAACAGAUCCAAGAGACGGACGAAGAGUCGCGUUGAAAAAGCUUCCAAAUGUUUUUCAAUCACUAGUCUCCUCGAAACGAGUUUUUAGAGAGUUAAAAAUGUUAUGCAAUUUCAAACACGAAAACGUAUUAUCCGCCCUUGACAUUCUGCAACCGCCUCAUUUGGAUUUCUUUCAAGAAAUAUACGUGAUAACCGAACUAAUGCAGAGCGACUUGCACAAAAUUAUAGUGUCGCCACAGCAGCUGUCACCAGACCAUAUAAAAGUUUUCCUCUACCAGAUCCUCAGGGGUCUCAAGUAUCUACAUUCGGCACGAAUAUUGCACAGAGAUAUUAAACCAGGAAAUCUGCUUGUCAACAGUAAUUGUAUUCUAAAGAUUUGUGACUUUGGUCUGGCCAGAGUAGAAGAACCAGAUGAGACCAAACACAUGACUCAAGAAGUGGUGACGCAAUAUUAUAGGGCGCCGGAAAUACUUAUGGGAGCCAAACACUACACAUCGGCCAUAGACGUGUGGAGUGUCGGUUGUAUAUUUGCCGAACUCGUCACCAGGCGGAUACUGUUCCAAGGCCAAGACACGGUUCAACAAUUGGAAUUGAUAACGGACUUGCUCGGUACGCCGACUAUGGAAGACAUGGCCCACGCGUGUCCGGCAGCCCGUUCCCACAUGCUCAUACGACGCAUGAAGAAACCGUCCAUGUCUCUGUUGUACUCUCUGUCUUCGUUGAUGACGCACGAGGCGGUUCACCUGAUUUCCCAGAUGCUAGUUUUCAAUCCGGACAAACGGAUGUCCGUCAUGGACGCGCUGGUCCAUCCUUACAUAGACGAGGGCCGUCUGAGGUAUCACAGCUGCAUGUGCAAAUGCUGUUUCACGGUACCGUUGACGGGUCUUCGGCAUUUCUGUAUGGAUUACGAACCGGUGGCGCCACAGACAUUCGACGAUAAAUGGGAGAAGAAAAUGUCGAAUGUACAACAAGUCAAAGAGGAACUUCACAAGUUUAUCGGCGACCAGUUGAGCAGUCACCGUGUGCCAUUGUGCAUAAAUCCCCAGUCGGCGGCAUUUAAAAGUUUCUCGAGGUAAGGCUGUGAGAAACGUCCACUCUUCUGAAUCACCAAAUAAAACUACACCUCGACUAACCGUGAUGUUUGAUCGGAGCAGACUGCCUCAUUUCCCUAUAUUUAUAUGUACCUAUCUACAUUGUAUAUAUAUAUAUAUAUAUAUAUAUUAUAUUAACGUGAUAACCGGAUCUCAAAUUGCGCCCCCCCGAGACCGAGACUGAAUGAAUAUAACACAAUGAAAUCGAGACAAGAAGAUUAAACAAAAAAAAAAAUGUACAUAAUCCUGAAUUUUUCUUUUUUUCUUUUUAUUGUAUGUGUGAGCAAAAUGCUUGAUUUUUACUUAUUUAGACGAUUGAAUGAAAGCUCAGUGCCCAAUUUUUCUUUUUUUUAGUACGCUUAUUUUCUUAUAAUUAUUAUAAUUUUUAAUUUUUUUUUUUUUUUACCAUCCAUGAAACCUGAUCAUUACACCAAAAACCACUUAUUAUGAUAUCAAGCUCUGAUUUUCGAUGUUUACCAAUAUUAUAUGAUAACGUACCUAUUUAUAAAUAUGAAAAAAAAAUUAUACUCGUUUUUUAAACAUAACUCAUCCGGUAAUGAUAUUAACAGCAUAUACAUUAUACAUUCACGUUAAACGCCAUGGGUUUAAAGACGUAACGUCAGAUUUAAACGGCCGUAAAACGUAAUGUAUCGGAAAGACGUGAAUUUUUAUUUUUUAAUUAUAUAUGUAAUAUAGUAACGCGGUAAAAGACGAAUAACGACAACGCGCUCGUGUGCGUGGAAGAUAAUUUUUGUAAAUAACGUGUCUUUGUGAUUUUUUUUCGUAAUGUAUAUAAUUAUUUGUACAAUUUAAAUGUGUAUUAUAAUAAUAUGUGAAUCGCA